rnacentral:rRNA from 1 species
GAUGAACGCUGGCGGCGUGCCUAAUACAUGCAAGUCGAGCGACCGGACGAGAAGCUUGUUCUUCUGCUGUUAGCGACUGACGGGUGUGUAACACGUGGAUCACCUUCUUAUAUUACUGGGAUAACUUCGUGAAACCGGAGCUACUACCGGCUCAUAUUUUGAACCGCAUGGUUCAAAAGUUCAACACACUCUUGCUGUCUCUUUUAGCUGGUUUCGCGCUGCAUUAGCUAGUUGGUAAGGUAACGGCUUACCAAGGCAACGAUGCUUAGCCGACCUGAGAGGAUGAUCAGCCACACUGGAACUGAGACACGGUCCAGACUCCUACGGGAGGCAGCAGUAGGGAAUAUUGGGCAAUGGGCGAAAGCCUGACGGAGCAACGCCGCGUGAGUGAUGAAGGUCUUCGGAUCGUAAAACUCUGUUGUUAGGGAAGAAAAGAUGUGGAAGUAACUGUGGACAUCUUGACGGUACCUAAAGAGAAAGCAACGGCUAACUACGUG